CCUACGGGGGGCUGCAGUGGGGAAUAUUGCACAAUGGGCGCAAGCCUGGUGCAGCCAUGCCGCGUGUGUGAAGAAGGCCUUCGGGUUGUAAAGCACUUUCAGCGGGGAGGAAGGCGUUAAGGUUAAUAACCUUGUCGAUUGACGUUACCCGCAGAAGAAGCACCGGCUAACUCCGUGCCAGCAGCCGCGGUAAUACGGAGGGUGCAAGCGUUAAUCGGAAUUACUGGGCGUAAAGCGCACGCAGGCGGUCUGUCAAGUCGGAUGUGAAAUCCCCGGGCUCAACCUGGGAACUGCAUUCGAAACUGGCAGGCUAGAGUCUUGUAGAGGGGGGUAGAAUUCCAGGUGUAGCGGUGAAAUGCGUAGAGAUCUGGAGGAAUACCGGUGGCGAAGGCGGCCCCCUGGACAAAGACUGACGCUCAGGUGCGAAAGCGUGGGGAGCAAACAGGAUUAGAUACCCGAGUAGUC
rnacentral:rRNA from 1 species